UUCUAUUUUUCAACCGGGUACUCGGACUUUUUGAGUGCAUCGGUAUUAGUUCCGGUACCAGUUCUCCAAAAAUAAAAUAACUGUUCCGGUUCGGUUUCGAUUUUUCGUUUAAAAAAUAAAAUAAAAUAAAGGUAUCGGUUCCACACAAUUUUGGUGCCGGUUUCACCAUCAAAAGUUGGCCCACCGACUUCACACAAUCCGUUCAAAAUGUAUGCC